CUCAGAGCUUUGUGCCCGCGAAAACUGUCCGGGCAGGCCUGCCUGGGGCUCCUCCUCCCCUGGCGUCUGAUUGGGCUGGGGGUCCUGCCGUCACCGGGAAAACCGCCCCAGCCAGGUCAGCAAACACCGGUGUGGCCAGAGACCUUUCUGGUCUAGAGAAUCUCCAGGGCAAGACAUCAUGGUAACAAGGCGGCUCCUCGCAGCUGUGGCACCAGGGAGGUGAGUGUACAAACUGCUGUCCAGGGGACAGGCUUCAGACCCGAGCACAGUCAGCACCUCCCACUGCCACCUCCGCCUGUGACUCCCAUGCUGGCUUCGGCCCUCCCACCGGCUCCUUUGAAGACUGUGCUGCAGACCUUUGGCCCACUGGGUCCCAAGUCCAUCUCCAUGCAGCCCGGCAGGAGGCCUGUGGCCCUGAGCUGGAUGGCAGUGCUUCCGCAGUGAGCACUGGGGAUCCCAGUGUCCCCCUGGCUGGCUGUGGUGGUGGUGCUGUGCUUUGUCCUCUGCCUUCCCUCCUCUCUGGAGAACCAUUCCUUGAACUUGGCCCCUGCUCCCAGGAACUGGGCUCCCUGUGUGUCCUCCCACAUCAGCCAUCAUCCCAGCUGAGCAGCCUUGACUUACCAGGUGGACCACUCAGGACACUAAAUGCUACCACUGUGGGAGCUUCCUGCCCUGGCCACGUGAGGCCCCGGGAUGUUGACAGCAGCUUGGAUGCAGCCUUUGCCUGCCAUGCGGCCUUUCAGACACGAGACGGUGGGCCUGCCCCCCAGGGCCAGCUCUCCGUUCAGGUAUUUCUGCCCUUUUUCGGCUGUGAAAGCAGAUCCGCCCCAAAGCAAGAAGUUCCUGGUGAAAUAUGCGUAAAAAAAGAACCUCAAAACUGGCAAAACUUCCACGUUCCUGAGCUCCAGGGAGGAACAGAGAUCAAGAAGGAAGGGAAGAGAAAGGCCGUGGACCCCUGCCCCGAGCUCGGAGUUCACUGCCUCCUGGCUGCUUGCGCACAAACUCCAGCCACCUGUCAGCAAAGUCGGAAGCCGGAGGUCCUCCCCUUGACCAGAGCCCCUACAGGAUCCAGGCCCAGCCACAGGGCGAGGCUGACGCUGCGGACUCCACGGACGGGGAUUUCCAAGGCCUGAGGACAGCCGUCCCUCGGGGUGAGCUCCCGGCGCCCCGGCCCCACUGCCCACAGCGAUCUCGGCACUAGGCGGCCCUGCUGUCAGGUACGUCCAACACAACCUGCGAGCUCCCUGUGGGCCCGCGUGGCCUGUGUCCCUGCAGCCUCACCCACGCAGCGUUCUGGUCCUGUUUGUCUUUAGUGUCCUGCCUCUUGGUGUUACUGCGUGUUUGUUUCCUGGAGAGCUUCAGCACUGGGGGUGCUGCUCUCCUCAUGCCCCCCUGGUGGACCGAGGUGGCCAUGGGCUACAAACGCCUGUGCACAGCGGGUGGCCUUGAGCCUGUGCUGGGGCGGACGCUUUCCCCAGUCUAGUGUUUCCGACUGUUAUUUUUAGUCCUAGAAAUGCAGCUUUCCAACUAGUCAAAUUUGUUGAACUUUUACUUGAUUAUAUUUUCACAUCCUUCAGUCCGUGGAAAGCAAGUGUGGUCUACAUUUGGGGUAGAUGUUCUCUUUUGUUCUCUCCUCGCUUUCCCGGGGCUUGCUUUUCACGCGGUGUUCUCUUAACCCAGACGCCUGUUGCGCUGGUCCCCACGUUUCUUCCCAGAUGCCCUGGGCAUCCGUCAGUGCUUCCUUGUCCUGCUGCCUCUGGAUCUUGUUUUCUCCUGCAAUAACCAUCUGUUCUGACCUGUUCACUGCAUUCAGCUGCUCUCCCCACAGUCAAGAGUCCCCAGGGAGGUGCCACUGCCUCAAGGGAGAGACCAUCUCCCAGCUCAAGGUCUGGCCCAGGCCUGCAGAGCCAGAGACCCAGCUGGUCACUGCCUCUGGAUGUGUCUCUUGGGGGCCACCUCAUCUUAACCAAACUUGUAAGAGACCAACACACAAAUCAGAAAAGGAAUGUGCUAACUUAGGAUGGGCAUGACCCCUUGCUUCAGCAAAAUACCGUGUCCCUCAAUAGACACCCCCUCUCUGAGCCUGGAUACAGGUUCCCCUGCUAUCCAAAAGCAGAGCGUUCCUGUGACACCUUCCAAGGCCGAAAUGGCAUAAGGCGAAGAGGCACUUAGUUACCUUGUUAGGACACGUGUUGCUCACGGCGCACAAGGCAAAUCGAGACGAAGCGCAGACGCCCCCAGACGCGGUUCGCAGCCUGGCUGCUUGGUGCUGAGUGUAGUCCCUUAGGAGCCCGGCAGGGGCCGCUCUCGCUGCCUCGGUUGCAGCUGCUGCAGAACAAAUGCUGAGCGCUGUUUUCACUUUUUGCCUUUAUUCAAAACAAGCUAAAAUCCUGUUUGGAUUUGUUGGAAAACAGGUACUAAUGUAGGUCUCUUGUAAAAGCAAAGUGGUGUAAAGAGAACUUUCAAAAAGCAGGGGACAUUUUUACCUGGGAAACAAAGUUAGGCCCUGUCGUUGCUUCAUGCCUACAGUGUGACGUGACCUUGCCUGCCCCCAGACCCUGUCAGCACCCCGUUCAGGUCCCGAGCUCUGACGCGCUCUGUCAGUCCUUCCCUCUGUGCCCCUGCUCACUUUGCCUCUGUUAGAGCAGAUGUUCUCACGAGGGGCGAUUCUGCCCUCAGGAGGUGACGUUGGCAACACCUGGGGACAUUUUUUUGGUUGUCCCAACUGAGGGGAGGUACUAUUGUCAGUUGCGGGGGGCAGGGAAGCUGUUCAGCGUCCUAAAGAGCCCAGGAUGCUGAGGGUGGGGACCCGAGUUAGAUCCGUGACUUAGGCGAAGGGCCAAAGAGAAGAUUCACGAGGCCGGAGAGAGAAGAGUAAGCGCUGUCGGCUGGAGGUUUCAGAAGCUGGAAAAUGAGGAAAAGCAGCUUUCGGCAGAAGCCUACACACUUGACAAGGUGCACGUCCAGGCUGAGAAGGCUGGCAGGGCCUGGGGAUGGGGGCGCGGGUAACCCUGACAGUGGGGCAGAGGUGGGAAGAAAAAUUGUGAUUGGCUAAAA
rnacentral:lncRNA from 1 species